AGUGAACGCUGGCGGUAGGCCUAACACAUGCAAGUCGAACGGCAGCACAGUAAGAGCUUGCUCUUACGGGUGGCGAGUGGCGGACGGGUGAGGAAUACAUCGGAAUCUACUUUUUCGUGGGGGAUAACGUAGGGAAACUUACGCUAAUACCGCAUACGACCUACGGGUGAAAGCAGGGGAUCUUCGGACCUUGCGCGAUUGAAUGAGCCGAUGUCGGAUUAGCUAGUUGGCGGGGUAAAGGCCCACCAAGGCGACGAUCCGUAGCUGGUCUGAGAGGAUGAUCAGCAACCCUGGACUUGGGACACGUCCCAGACUCCUACGGGAGGAGGCAGUGGGGAAUUUUGGACAAUGGGGGCAAGCCUGACCCACCAAUCCCGCGUGGGUGAGGAGGGCCUUGGGUUGGUAAACCCCUUUGUUGGGGAAAAAAAGGAGGCGGGUUAUACCCCGCCGUUCUUGACGGUACCAAAGGAAAAAGACCCGGUUAACUCGGUG
rnacentral:rRNA from 1 species